GAUGAACGCUGGCGGCGUGCCUAAUACAUGCAAGUCGAGCGAACAGAUGCUGCUCUUGCUCCUCUGACGUUAGCCGCGGACGUGUGAGUCACAUGUGUAUAACCUACCUAUCUGACUGGUAUCAUUUCGGGAAACCGGCUCUAAUCCCGGAUAAUAUCUUGAACCGUAUGGUUCAAUAGUGAAAGACGGCUUUGCUGUCACUUCUAGCUGCAUCCGGGCCGCAUUAGCUAGUUGGUAAGGUAACGGCUUAUCAAGGCAACCAUGCGUAGCCGACCUGCGAGGGGGGUAGGCCACCUGGGAGCUGGACCACGGACAAGACGACUGAGGGAGGCAGCAGAAGGGAACCUGCGGCAGUGGGCGGAAACAUGACGGAGCAACGCCGAGUGAGUGGUGAAGGCCUUCGGAUCGUAAAAAUCUGUUAUGAGGGAAGAACAAAUGUGUAAGUAACUAUGCACGUCGUGACGGUACCUAAUCAGAAAGCCACGGCUAACUACGUG
rnacentral:rRNA from 1 species